AUGCCGCCUAGCUUCCGCCCCUAUCCUCUCCCCCAAAUCCGUCGACCUGGUCGCCCACCAUCUCCUCCUCACCUCAUCAGAAGAGAAGAGGGAGAUCGAUCAGAGAUGACCGGUGGUGCAGCCUUCCCGAUUGUGGAGCGAAUCCUACAUGUGUGCAACCAUCUCCAGUCGCCACCCUCCCUUUCAAGGUCGCUAACCUCACGAAAAAAGUGCACGAUGGCAGAGGGGAGGUCGACGGAAUCAGUUGAAGGUCAUGGAUGGAUCCAGCCGCUCCGAUUCGGGCCCCGGUCACUAGCAGAAGGAGGUCAAUGGGAUCGAUCGAAGGUCAUGGCUCGAUCCAGUGGCGCGCGAUGCGGGGAUCGCCCGGUUGAAGGUCGCGAUCAGUUUGCGAGGGAAAUCCAGCCAAGCAACGACUGCGGCGGCGGCGGCGGCGGCAACUAUUCUCUGGCGCUGCGCUACGGCUGGCAGCCUCAUGUUCCACAUCAAGCAAGAUCUCUUCGUGUGAAGCCUCCUCUCCUUCCUGCAUAG
rnacentral:rRNA from 1 species